rnacentral:rRNA from 1 species
GUGUAGUUAACACCUGCACUAUUUGACGUUACCUACACGAAGAAGCACCGGCUAACUCCGUGCCAGCAGCCGCGGUAAUACGGAGGGUGCGAGCGUUAAUCGGAAUUACUGGGCGUAAAGCGCAUGCAGGCGGCCUGUUAAGUCAGAUGUGAAAGACCCGGGGCGUUAACCUCGGAAUUGCAUUUGAAACUGGCAGGCUAGAGUCUUGUAGAGGGGGUAGGAAGUUUCAGGUGUAGCGGUGAAAUAGCGUAGAGAUCUGAAGGAAUACCAGUGGCGAAGGCGGCCCCCUCGGACAAAGACUGACGCUCAGAUGCGAAAGCGUGGGGACGCAAACAGGAUUAGAUACCCCUGGUAG